ACUUGGCAGAGAUGGCCUUCAAAGGGCUUGACCAAUCACUGACGUCUCAUUUAAACCUUGCUGUCAAUACACACAAUGUCACAAGAGUUGGUGCAAGAUGUAUAUAAGUAUACUCCCCACUGCACCCACCCCUCCACCAAAAAAAAUGAAGAAAUUAACUCUGCAAAAUAGCAAAUAGAAAACAGCCUUGUUUUUGCUGAAAAAACGUAACGUGAUGUUUGUGGUCUAAUACUAUGAUGACACUGUACUUGUUCUCUGACCUCCUAUUUGAUCAGCAUAUUCCCCACAGACAAGAGAGGCUCACACUCAUACUGCUCUUCCUUCUUUGCCCUACUCAGCCACUCCCUGCAAUAAUAGGAAGAUGCCAAUGCAAGCAAGGUUCCAUUUUCCUUUAAGGUUAGAAACUAUCGAUAAGGUUGGCCCUAUCCUUUGUUCUUCCCACAUCUUGGAUCCUCAGUGACAAUAUUUACUGAACACUAGGGAUGUUUGGCUUUCUAUUUGGAGAGGUAGGUAGAGUGGAAUCCACUUGCUCUGAAGAAGAGUUAACAUUAAGUUGUUUUUGUCUCCCACAGGGAGGUUAAUUUAGCCACCAGGCAGUAAACAGUGGUGGUGAUUUAACAAUUACCUCUUUUCUAGAACAACAAUUUCAAAGAAUCAACCUAGCCACUUCCCUUUUCACAAAUCGGUGACAAUGAAAUCAGCAAUGCAAGAAUACUGCCGAUAGCCAAAGUCCUGCAAAUAAUAGGCUGUGCCACCAUGCCAAGGGAAGGGGCCAGAGCCUCACAAAUCAUGAAAUGACUGACAAAAGCUGGGGUCACAUGGAUCCUUGUAAUUUAAUCCCAAUUUUCUUACAAAAUAAACUAUACGUUUUCAACACUGUCUUGUUCACUGUGAUUUUAAUAAACACUGAUAAUUAUUUGUA